GUGUGCUGGGGGCGUGCAGAGGCGGGAAUACAGAGGGGGGAAGCGUUGUGUGGAAUUAUGGGGCGUGAAGGGCGCGUAGGCGGUGGCGCAAGUCCGUGGUGAAAGCUCCAGGCUGGACGUGGCGGCUGCAGCGGAAACUGGGGGGCUAGAGUGGGGGAGAGGUGCGUGGAAUGCCCGGUGUAGCGGUGAAAUGCGUAGAUAUCGGGAGGAACACCUGUGGCGAAAGCGGCGCACUGGACCACAACUGACGCUGAGGCGCGAAAGCUAGGGGAGCAAACAGGAUUAGAUACCCUUGUAGUC
rnacentral:rRNA from 1 species